rnacentral:lncRNA from 1 species
UGAAGACUUACAAACGGAUAGCAGCAAGUGUAUACUGGGAGGGAAUGAAAUCAGACAUAAGCAAGUAUGUUAGACAGUGUACGAUUUGUCAGCAAAACAAAGACAGUGCUCUCUCACCGGCAGGCCUUUUACAACCACUCGCUAUUCCAAAUCAGGUUUGGGAAGAUAUUGCCAUGGAUUUCAUCGAGGGGUUACCGAAGUCUGGGAAUAUGGACACCAUUUUGGUGGUGGUUGAUAGACUGAGUAAAUAUGGGCACUUUAUUGGGCUCAAACACCCUUUUACGGCUGCUAGUGUGGCGAGAAUUUUCAUCAAGGAAGUGGUACGACUCCAUGGAGUACCACAUUCUAUCGUUUCGGAUCGAGAUAAAAAUUUUGUGAGUCAUUUUUGGGAAGAGUUAUUCAGGUUGCAAGGAACUAAGGUCAGCCGAAGUACAGCGUACCAUCCCCAGUCCGAUGGACAGACAGAGGUACUGAACCGCACAUUAGAAACUUAUCUUCGAUGUUUCACUUCAUCUUAACCUAAAUCUUGGUUCAGUUGGCUACCCUGGGCAGAAUUGUGGUACAACACGUCCUUUCAUACAGCCACCAAAGCUACUCCCUUCCAAAUCGUAUAUGGGAGAGAACCCCCAACUUUGGUGAGGAUUGAAAGAGGGUGCACGGCAGUUUCAGUGGUAGAACAACAGUUAAGGGAACAUGAUCGAAUACUAGAUGAGUUAAAGGCACAACUACUCCGAGCUCAAGCUAAAAUGAAAGGCAUAGUCGACGCUAAACGCAGGGAUAUCCAGUUCGAGGUUGGGGACUUGGUAUACUUGAAGAUCAGACCCUAUUGCCGCAAGACUUUGGCUACCAGGAAUAAUGAAAAAUUGGCUCCAAGAUUCUAUGGUCCAUUUGUAGUGGAAAAGAGGAUUGGACCAGUGGCGUAUAAGCUGUCCUUACCCCCCACCUGUAGCAUUCACCCGGUUUUUCAUGUUUCACAGUUGCGCAAGGCAGUGGGGGCAACACGUGCUGUAGAUGAAGUGCCUAAUCAACUGAAUGAGGAGUUAGAAAUGUUGGUGGAACCUGGAGCAGUGCUGGGGGUGCGACCUGGGUCAGGUCACAACAUUAGAGGACUGGAUGUGUUGAUUCAAUGGAAGGGGUUGCCACCGCUGGAAGCGACGUGGGAAUCGUAUGAUCUGCUGAAACAGCAAUUUCCUUCCUUUCACCUUGAGGACAAGGUGAGUCUUGUUGGGGGGAGUAAUGUUAGACCCACAAUACAAGUCACUUAUCAGAGGCGCAAGGGCCAAAGAGGAAACACACAGAGAGAAUAAGCUAUGUGCACGGUUACAUAAUAUGGUUGGGGAUAACAGUCUAGAAGCAGAACAACCUUUAAAUAAGAGAAGAAAUGGACACCUGAGGAGGAGAAAUUGGCAUCCAACAGGAGAGUGGUGAACCUCUCAAAAGUUCACAACAAUAUCUUAUCAUUUCCUUCUGUUCUUUGUUAU